rnacentral:rRNA from 1 species
GGGCCGCGAGGUCCCCGGACCUCCCGUCGACUUCGGUGGACGUGUGCCCGCCAGAGGCCCAUUAAACUCUGUUAACUAGUGAUGUCCGAGUCGUAAUAUAAUCGUUUAAAACUUUCAACAACGGAUCUCUUGGUUCUGGCAUCGAUGAAGAACGCAGCGAAAUGCGAUAAGUAAUGUGAAUUGCAGAAUUCAGUGAAUCAUCGAAUCUUUGAACGCACAUUGCGCCCUCUGGUAUUCCGGAGGGCAUGCCUGUUCGAGCGUCAUUACACCUCUCAAGCUCGGCUUGGUUUUGGGAGCCGUCCCCCGGGACGUUCCUCAAAGUUAGCGGCGACGCGGUCGGUCUUGAAGCGUAGUAAAACUUCCAAGUUUCGCUUCGAAGGACGGCGGUGUCCGCCGGAACCCGCGGGGAUCUUCCCCCACAUUUCAAUGGUUGACCUCGGAUCAGGUAGGGAUACCCGCUGAACUUAAGCAUAUCAUA